GUGCUCACUUCAGCAGCACAUACACUAAAAUUGGAACAAUACAGAGAAGACUAGCAUGGCCCCUGCAUAAGGAUGGGGCUUCCCAGGGGGCGCAGUAGUCAAGAAUC
ensembl:snRNA U6 U6 spliceosomal RNA